GUGAUGAGGCAGCUUCUGAUGUCUACCAGUUUUAUGACCAUGAUAUAUUGAGCCAUUUUUCUUUUAAAGGCAGGAGCCCUUCUUUGAAAAUCAUCAUAUAAAUUCUAUAAAUAAACUAUCCAUUGGAAGCAAAAAGGCACUAAAUGUACAAAUUGUUUUUCAGAACCUGUAUAGGAUUGUUAUUGUUGCCAGUGAAUUGGAAGGACUUUGGAAUGUGCCACAUGUGUCACACAAAAAGCAGACACUUGAUUUAACACAACAAAUGAAGCAAGGAGACACAGGAAGAAAUUCCAAUGGACUAAGAUGGAAAGAGACAGAAAGUUAAUCUUUCCCAGACAUCUAUAUAU